UACGUAGGGCGCAAGCGUUAUUCGGAAUUACUGGGCGUAAAGCGCACGUAGGCGGCUUUGUAAGUUAGAGGUGAAAGCCUGGAGCUCAACUCCAGAAUUGCCUUUAAGACUGCAUCGCUUGAAUCCAGGAGAGGUGAGUGGAAUUCCGAGUGUAGAGGUGAAAUUCGUAGAUAUUCGGAAGAACACCAGUGGCGAAGGCGGCUCACUGGACUGGUAUUGACGCUGAGGUGCGAAAGCGUGGGGAGCAAACAGGG
rnacentral:rRNA from 1 species